rnacentral:rRNA from 1 species
UCUCGAGUGGCGAACGGGUGAGUAACACGUGGGUGAUCUGCCCUGCACUUUGGGAUAAGCCUGGGAAACUGGGUCUAAUACCGAAUAUUUCCUUUUGGUCGCAUGGCUGGGAGGGGAAAGCUUUUGCGGUGUGGGAUGGGCCCGCGGCCUAUCAGCUUGUUGGUGAGGUUAUGGCUUACCAAGGCGACGACGGGUAGCCGGCCUGAGAGGGUGACCGGCCACACUGGGACUGAGAUACGGCCCAGACUCCUACGGGAGGCAGCAGUGGGGAAUAUUGCACAAUGGGCGCAAGCCUGAUGCAGCGACGCCGCGUGGGGGAUGACGGCCUUCGGGUUGUAAACCUCUUUCAAUAGGGACGAAGCGUAAGUGACGGUACCUAUAGAAGAAGGACCGGCCAACUACGUGCCAGCAGCCGCGGUAAUACGUAGGGUCCGAGCGUUGUCCGGAAUUACUGGGCGUAAAGAGCUCGUAGGUGGUGUGUCGCGUCGUCCGUGAAAACUCACAGCUUAACUGUGGGCGUGCGGGCGAUACGGGCAGACUUGAGAACUGCAGGGGAGACUGGAAUUCC